UGAGGGAUAUUGGACAAUGGGCGCAAGCCUGAUCCAGCCAUGCCGCGUGCAGGAAGAAGCAUCUAUGGUGUGUAAACUGCUUUUGUACGGGAAGAAACACUCCUUCGUGAAGGAGCUUGACGGUACCGUAAGAAUAAGGAUCGGCUAACUCCGUGCCAGCAGCCGCGGUAAUACGGAGGAUCCAAGCGUUAUCCGGAAUCAUUGGGUUUAAAGGGUCCGUAGGCGGUUUAGUAAGUCAGUGGUGAAGGCCCAUCGCUCAACGAUGGAACGGCCAUUGAUACUGCUAGACUUAAAUUAUUAGGAAGUAACUAGAAUAUGUAGUGUAGCGGUGAAAUGCUUAGAUAUUACAUGGAAUACCAAUUGAGAGGGCAGGUUACUACUAAUGGAUUGACGCUCAUGCACGAAAGCGUGGGGAGCAAACA
rnacentral:rRNA from 1 species